rnacentral:rRNA from 1 species
GGCCAGCCUGCCCAGUGACUCUUGUUUACGGCCGCGGAACCCUAACCGUGCGAAGGUAGCGUAAUCACUUGUUCUAUAAAUGAGGACUAGUAUGAAAGGCUUCACGAGGGUUAAACUGUCUCCUUUUUUCAAUCAGUGAAACUAAUCUCCCCGUGAAGAAGCGGGGAUAACAAUAUAAGACGAGAAGACCCCAUGGAGCUUAAAACACUUUUUCACUAUCACACUUAUCCCCCGUAACCAUCAUGUGAUAUAUGUCUAAAUGUUUUCAGUUGGGGUGACUGCGGGAAACAAUCAAACCCCCGCGAUGAAAGGGUAUACCCCUAAACUAUAAGCCACAACUUUAAGUAUCAGAAAUCUGACAUCCUUUGACCCAAUUCUUUGAUCAACGAACCAAGUUACCCUGGGGAUAACAGCGCAAUCCACCUUAAGAGCCCUUAUCGACAGGUGGGCUUACGACCUCGAUGUUGGAUCAGGGUAUCCUAGUGGUGCAGCCGCUACUAAGGGUUCGUUUGUUCAACGAUUAAAACCCU